rnacentral:rRNA from 1 species
AGAGUUUGAUCAUGGCUCAGGACAAACGCUGGCGGCGUGCGUAACACAUGCAAGUCGGACGAGGGGGAGGGGCUUUUCGGAGCGUCUUUCUUGAGUGGCGGACGGGUGCGUAACACGUGGAUAACCUGCCCUGGUGUGGGGGAUACCCUGUAGAAAUACGGGCUAAUACCGCAUACGGUCGCGCUUGGGGAGCCGAGCGU